CCCCACCCAGCCGCCAGCGCCCCACCCUCCCUCCACCUCAGUCGCUCUCCCCGUCUCCCGUUCCAGCGCCCAAUGCCCAGCGCGGCCGGCGUCCCAGCGCCCUACCUGCUCGCCCUCUGCUGGCUCGGCGGCUCCCCUCUGCUCCCAUGCUGCCGGCGCCCUCCCUCUGCUCGCAUGCGGCACGCUCCCGGCGCCCUCCCUCUGCUCGCAUGCUGCCGGGUGCCGGCGCAUCCCUGCUCGCCCUCUGCUCGCACCAGGCUCGAUGGCUCCCCUCUGCGUGCACUAGGCACACGGCGCCCCCUGCUCCAUACAUGCCGGCGCCCUCUCUCCAAGAGUCCAAGACCUGCCGGCGCCCCCUGCUCGAAGACCUGCCGGCGCCCCCCUCUUCCAAAAGACCAAGACCUGCUCCAUCUGCCACCUCCCUCCACGCUGUGAUGGAUACCCCUACUGGUAGCACUCAACAAGGCUCUGCCACCAGUCCUUUUGCCCUUGUUGACGACCGUCGUACCAUGGAUGUGGAGUCCUCAUCGGAGCAAGAGGAGCAAGGGGACGUACCUACCUCUUCAGGCUCGAAGAGGAAGCUCAGAUCUAAUGUGUGGAGUGAUUUUGAACCCGUAGAAGUUGAUGGAGUAUCGAAGGCUAAAUGCAAACAUUGCAAGAAGAAACUUUCGGGCAUCACAAAAAAUUGGUACAUCACAUUUACAUGCACAUUUGAAGUCUUGUGUUUAUAAUCAAAAUAAGAAAGGAGUAAAAAUACAAACUAAUUUGAGGUUUGCUACAUCAGAGAAGGGGCAAGUGGCCGUAGAAAAUUAUGUAUUCAAUCAAGAUGUAGCUAGAAGAGCACUUUAUUUUAUGAUUAUAUUACAUGAGUAUCCAUUAUCACCAUGGAUUUCGUAAGUUUGUUAGUGCAUGCUUGUUAUAUUGCUUUGUUUGGUGAAGAAGUAGCUGAACAACAUGUCUCAGAUGCCCAUGAAUUGCUAACUGAAUUGAUGAAGCAUUACCAAGUGAAAGAACCAGAGUUUGUAACUUCCUCUUCUAGUGGAUCUUCUACUGUUAGUGCAGCUGCAGUGUUGUCCAUUUUUAAGUCACUUGCUGCAAAUAAGAAGACUAAUACCUUUAUUAGAAGUAAGAAUGAGCUGGAGCGAUAUUUGGAAGAAGAAACUCUUCCUAAUUAUGACAAUGACAACUUUGACAUCCUUGGUUGGUGGAAGCUAGAGGGAACUCAUUAUCCAACUUUGAGGCUGAUUGCUAGAGACAUUUUAGCUAUUCUAAUCACCACUGUUGCAUUUGAAUAUGCUUUUAGUACAAGUGGCAGGCUUUUAAGUGAUCAUCGCAGUCGUCUUACUCCUAAAAUUUUUGAAGCUUUAAUGUGUAGCUAAAGUUGGCUUCGUCAGACUCUUCAAGGUGCUGAAUCUGUUGAUAAUGGAAGAUUCAACAGUUUUUGGUCUUGCCUUGAAGAUAACGAAAAAGACAUCAAAGAAGAAUCUUGUGUGUUGGGUGCUGAUUCUGGAUGAGAUAUUUAUUGUCAAGUGUAUUUUUGUGUUUGUAAUUUUAUUCUUUGAACAAUUCAGAUUUGAUUCUGCUGGACAUUUAUGUAUCUUUUUAUGCAAAAAAUCUGUAUGCUAAUUUAUCCUUUGAAUAA